CGGACGGCUGCAAAAAGAUAAACAUACCUUAGACGUAAGCGUCGUUGGUUAGUUUCCUAUUUUGCUAUUAUCCG
rnacentral:ncRNA from 1 species